GUUUAUGUAUUAAAUAAUUACUUUCUUUUAUUUUUAGUUGACCUGUCAAAUACAAGAUACAGAGUGCCAGUCCCACUUUGAUGAAGUAUUAAAAGCAAUGGUUGGAAUAAGGAAAGCUUUAUUAUUUAAACAGGAAACAGUAAUGAAUGAAUGAAGAUUUGUAUCCCUUUUCAAUUCAUCUGAAAACCUGAUGAUUGAGCGGUCUUGCAAAAAAUGUACCUAAGGAGUCAGAUGGGCUAGUGCAUUCAUUUCCAUAAACUGGACUCAGUAACUGUUCAAGGCUUUACACAAUACCUGAGUGUACAUUUCCAGUUACUAAUUACAAUGAUUUAUGUGUAACCUAAAUUUCAUAUUGUUACACUUCUUCGUCACUCGACAGAUAGAAUUAGACACAUCUCUGGAGAAGAAAAAAAUCUUUGUAAAGUUCAAGACAGAAUUAAUGAAAAAGAUCAAGAACUAAUACAACUAUAUGCUUGUAGUACAGAUGUAAACUUUUAUGAAAUGUUUCAAACUAAAGCUACACUUUAAAGCUUUCCGAAAAUAUAUUAAACCAGGAGACACAUUAGCUACAAUUUAAUUUUAAGAUGACACUGGACAUUCUUAGUUGUUUAUUACUCAAUGAAUAGUUAGUUUAUAGCAUAAGCUGUUGUGACCCAAUUAAUCUGUUAUAAUGAUAUUUACUUCAUUUUUAAAAAAUUGCAUUAAUAUUUGUUUAUGAUCAAUGAAUCAGAAAAACAGUG